UACGUAGGGUGCAAGCGUUGUCCGGAAUUAUUGGGCGUAAAGAGCUCGUAGGCGGUCUGUCGCGUCGGAUGUGAAAACCCAGGGCUCAACCCUGGGCCUGCAUUCGAUACGGGCAGACUAGAGUUCGGUAGGGGAGACUGGAAUUCCUGGUGUAGCGGUGAAAUGCGCAGAUAUCAGGAAGAACACCCGUGGCGAAGGCGGCUCUCUGGGACGGUACUGACGCUGAGACGCGAAAGCGUGGGGAGCGAACAGG
rnacentral:rRNA from 1 species